rnacentral:rRNA from 1 species
UACGAAUCGUCCUAACGUUGUUCGGAUUCACUGGGUUUAAAGGGCGCGUAGGCUGUGCGUUAAGUCGGUGGUGAAAUACUUCGGCUCAACCGGAGAAUUGCCGCUGAAACUGGCGUGCUAGAGGGAGGUAGAGGUGCAUGGAACUUCCGGUGGAGCGGUGAAAUGCGUUGAUAUCGGAAGGAACACCAGUGGCGAAAGCGGUGCACUGGACCUUCUCUGACGCUGAGGCGCGAAAGCCAGGGGAGCGAACGGG